CCUCCAGGCUAUCCUCACAGUGCAGAAUACUUUUUGAGAAGGGGAUUUUCACUGUGAAGGCUCGAAUUUGGCUCUGGCACGACACUUUAUGUGACAGACGGCAUUCAACGAAAACCCAAAGUGACGCUGUACUCAGCGUCCAACUCUGAGUCGAAUGAGAAGACCACCCUGCUAUGUCUGGCUAGAGACAUGUCUCCAGACUUGGUCAAGAUCUCAUGGAAGAUUGAGGAAGCAAACGGCGGAAGAACGGAGGUGCCCAAAGCAGAGGGGGAACAGCUGGAGCAGAGGGAGGAAGAACAGACGACCAGUAUGAUCAUCAUUGAUAAAGAGAAUACGUACAGGAACAAAUACAUCUGUUCUGUGGAGCAUGAAUGGGGUGCUCAACAUUUUGACAUCCCAAAAGAUACUCCAACCACCAUGUCUGCACCAGCGUUCAGAAAUGACAUGCAGGAGUCACUGACUCUGCAGUGUACCGAAGAUUCCUUCCAGUCAACGUGCAGUCUGAACCUGGCCUCUCUGGUUUACACAGUGAUGAUAGUGAAAAGCAUGGUGUACUGCUGUGGGCUCUCUCUCCUGCUGCACAACAGGAUCCUGGGAAGAGGACCCAGCACCUGAAGACCUAUAUGAGGAAAAUCAUUUAUGUGCUUUUUUACAUUGAUACAAUGUUGUUGUUGUUGUUUUUUUGUUUUUUUUUACAUUGAUACAGCUUGCAUGACAUUUUCCUUGCCUAACACAGCCUGCUCAAAUUAACCAAGUUGCUCAAAAUAACCAUAUUAUUUCAGAAGAGGAUGCCUUUGUGAACAAAAUGUUGCAACAACAAUGGAUCUGUAAAUGAUUGUAAAAUACAUUUUUACAGUUCCGUGCUGUUUUCGGUGAAAUAAGGUUACUUAAAACCCCCAAAAUAUUGCAUCUCUUUACUAUAAGAUCAUCUAUUCAUAUUUGGGAAAAUGUUAUUUCAUUGAAUCUCAUCAGAAGCGGAACAAUACGAUUGUAAGUCCACCAAUGAUCUGUUUUCAACUUGUUUGCUUCAAUGUGCAUGUUCCCGACGCAGAUGUUGAGCCUAGACUUAAUAGUGGUGGGAUAAUAUGGUUCAUGUUUCUUUGGUGUUCUAAGGACAUGUGAAACGGUAGUUACUGUAAACAAGAAAUAGCUAGCUGCAGAACCACAGCUCGAGUGUGUGAAGAGAUGGUUAUCCAAAGCUGCUGGGUGAUUCACUUGGCCUUGAUCUGUUUUUACCUCUAGUAGUGGGUUCACAGCUCUUGCCAUCAAAUUGAAGAAUAUGACAGCGAUUGCAGACGAGUCCGUAAUGGUAGUUUAUGGUUCUUGCAUUUGUAGAAUUAUAGAUCUAUGGCAAAACUUUUUACACUUUUGUUUAUGUGUACGUUUUACCUUGAAACAAUCAAAUUAAAUUAAAUCAAGGUUGGAGAGUUUAAUUUGUUUUUAACAUAUAUAUUUUGCAAGGAAAUGAACAUUGUUAUCAAGAGAAGUAUUUUCCAUGUUAUUGUCAUGUUAUUACCAUUUAUUCUGUGCUUCAAUGUAAAGUGCUACCGAAAUGUCUUAUUAAUUGUUUUCUUUUCUCUACAUCGAAACCAUGAAAUAACACAUAUGGAAUCACGUAGUAACCAAAAAAAUGUUAAAUAAAUAUAUUUGAGAUUUGAGAUUCUU
ensembl:lncRNA